CUAUUUCUUGCAUUCUGUGGAAACGGAUGGAAAAUGGAUUUCAAGACAUUCGGCAAUUUGGAAUCUGCAAUUUAGGAGUGUGUCAAAAGCUAAAAAUAUUGGAUUUCAUGAAAAGAUUUGGAAAAGUUUCAUUGUGUCUUUGGAUUGGAG